UCCUCUCCAAAUCCAUCUCAUCCAAAUCAAUAAAACAACUCUCCUCUUAUUCAUAAAUUUCAUUAACCCUUCCCUUUAAUUCAAGAAGCAUCAACGGUUUGCUAAUGUUAGCGUUAUAGUAUAGCUUGAAUUUUGAAUAAAAUUUAAGACUCCAAUUGUGAUUCAAAUCGAAUAUUUAUAAUAGGCUAAAGGCCCAUGUAGAAAUGGGUAGGCGUAAUUAAAAAUUCUGGUUUCAUCGAUUAGCUAGCCAACCGCCUCUUUUGAACUCUGGAAAACUCUGGAGCACCUGAAUUGUGAUUGGCAAUGUCACAGUGUGAGUGACAAUGAGAGUGAUGACGAUGAAUCGGCGAUCGUUCCGAAACCCUAAACGAAAAAGGAGUUAUAGCCUUUUAUUGAUAGAGAUUUGAAGGACAUCAAAGUCUCCAAACUUAUAAGCUGGUAGGACAUGAAAGUUUCAGAGAAUAAGGUACUCUCUCUCCAUUUCCCUCCAUGGGUUUUCAUCUUUAUUGAGUUUAAUGUGUUAUUUACAUAUGGAGAUGGUUGAAUCCAUAGGCUAUUUGAUUUGAUGGUUCCUGAUGAAUAAUCCCUCCUGCUAGAACCAAAAGGUUUUGUGAUUAGCUAUUAGAAUCAGUAAGAAUGUAACUAAUCCAUUUCUUGCCUCCUCCGUUUAUCUCUUCUUUGGCCGAUUCAAAAUUAACGACAAAUUCAAUAAAUCAAAAUCAAUACAAAUCAAUGAAGAUGAUCAUAAUUAGUGGGAAAUUGUGGUCGGACCUUCCACGGGAUAGAACUUGUGUUUUCAAUAGUGAUAGAUCAAGUGGUAGGUUCUCCGUUCGGGAGUUUGAGGUGCAGCUGUUGGCGGUGUGUAGAUCGACGGACCACGGAUGAAAUAUGUUGAGGAAGAGGGAUAGGGUAGUGGAGCAAGAGAGCUAGUGGUUUUCUCGAGGCCAGAAAAGCCAUCAGUGGGGUGAGGCAGGGCCAUAAAUUAUUGAUUUCAGAUAUAAAGAUAAAUUAUCUAUUAAGAGAAAAAAAAUAAUAUGUUCAAAUUUUCAAUUAUAAUAAUAAUAGAGUAAAAAAAUAUUUAUGACAUAAUAAAUUCUCACAAUAAAUGUCUUUAAUUUUAAAUAUUAUUAUAAGAAAUUUUAAUAGUAUUAUAAUUUUACAUCUUAUAGUAUUAUAUCUAUGAAAACAUUUCUAACAGUAUAAUAAUAUUAAGGGAAAAUUAUUAUAGAGUUUCUAAAUUUUAAUAAAAUUUAUUAGUUAGUUUUUAUAAUUUUUAGUUUUAACUAAAAUAUUUUUUAUAUUUUUAAAAUAUAAUAAUUACAUUCUUUUGUUAAUAAUUAUGAUAGUCAAAAGAAAAUUUAACAGUUAAAUGUGCGAGAAUAUUUAGAAAUUACAAAAUUAAUCUUAACAUUCUUGGAAAUUUGCUCUUGAUAUCCACAUUAAUUUCUCAAUCAAAACCAAAUUAAUUAUAUGAAAAACAUAUUCAUUCAUCCAUCAAAUCCAUAUUCAUUCUACAAAAUUAAUAUAAUUCAUCCAUCAAAUCCAGAUUCAUUCUACAAAAUCAAUAUAAUUCAUCCAUCAAAAUUAAAUUUAUUCAAGAAAAUUAAUAUCACUUAUUUAUCAAAUUCAGAAGUCAACAUCUUCAAGAAAUCUAAGUUCUGGUACGAUGAAUAGAAGAAAUAAAUUGCAACAGAGUGAAAAAGUUGUCUAACAAAUACUCUCGCAUCUUCAACAAAUUCAUCUUCCCCUUUCAUUGUCGACGUCGUUAUCCAUAAAAUGAAUAACAAAAGGACUCAAAUCCAGAAUCGCAGCUCACUCUCGAAUUUCAAUAUCCUCAUCGUUGCCGUGUUUGUUGACUUCAAAAUUGUAGCGUUCGUCGAUCCCAGCAUCGCAACGUCUUCCGAUCGGAAUGAGAGGACUAGGAAGAUAAUUUGUUUUAGAUUAAAUGAGAGGAUCAAAAAAGAAAGAGGGAGAAGGGGAGAUUAGUUUCUGCAUUUAGAGAUUAGAUUAGAGUAUUUAAAACUUUUUACAUAAGAGAUAUUUUAAUUAAAGUUAAAAGUUAUAAGGAUUAACUAAUAAUUCAAGAAUUUUAUAAUAAUUUUUUUUAAUAUUAUAUAAAAAUUAAAAUAUAAAAUAUUUUUACAUAUCUCUAUAUCGUUUAUUAGAUUAAAAGUGAAAUUUAUAAAUGAAAUAUAUAGCUAAAAUUUAUUAAAAUUUGAACUUUUAUUUAUAUUAUUUCAAAUUUUAUUAAUUUCAAUGCAAUUAAUUUAGUAUAAUAAUUAGACAUAUUUUAUAUAUUAUUAUAUAUUUCAAAAAAAAAAUUAUAAAGUUUAGUGGGUCGAUUCCACUCCACUGGAGAAAUUAUAGAAUGAAUCAUUGUCUAUAUAAAUAAAAACUAGACGACUAUAUAAAAAUAAAAAAAAAAAUAAUUAUUUUUAUGAUGUAAGCAUCUUGCCGCUAUUCGACAACAGAGGGGGAGAGAGAGGGCUUCCUGAGAUAAUGAGGUGAGGGAGGGGCUGGAGAGGAGGGAUAUGGACAGAGACAGGGGAGGGUUGCAUUUGUAACGAGUGUGUUUUAAUCUUUUUCAUAUUGAUGGAGAAUGAUCAUAUAGUUGCUAGAAUAAUCCUCAAUAUAAUUUUCAAAAUAUAAAGAACGACUAGUAAUAAUAAAAAUAAUACCUGAAAACUAAAUUGUUCCAGCGAUUAAAGCAAAUAGAGGGGGCUUCUCUUACAAUAUUUACUCAAAUUUGAUUAUGCUUAUCAUCUAAAAGAAAUGAUUAACAGUAAUGACAGCUGCCAAAGAUAUGAAGUUUAUAAUUCACUUGUCAAUUUUACUUAAAAGUCUAAGGAAAGCAAUAAAGAGAACUGAUAUUGGCUACAUGCUUUCAGGUCUUUGGGAAUUCUUUGCUUUUAAGCUGAACUGGAAUGCAUUUGGCUACAAAACCAAUUGGCCAAGACACAGCUGCAAUGGCAAUGCAAACACCCCAUUGCCCCCAAUUUAGCCUCUCGGUCCCUGCAAAUCUCCUCAGAAGCUCAACCAUCAGCACUUGAAGAACAAUGGUAAUUCCAAUGAUCGCUAAGAACAAUUUGUUCUUAUGUAUUCCUCUGAAUAUAUUCUUCUUUUCCAUGUUCCUUGCAUUGAACUCAUUAAAGACUUGACACAGGACAAAAGUAUUGAAGACGAUAGUAUUCUUUACCUUCUCAUUCACACCAAAGAUGGAUUUUGCUUUGAAUUCUAGAAUAAGCAAGACAGCAACCUGAUACAACGCUUGGGCAAUGAGAUUCCUCCACAUGAUUUUGGUGAU
rnacentral:lncRNA from 1 species